rnacentral:rRNA from 1 species
UAGGGAAUCUUCCACAAUGGACGCAAGUCUGAUGGAGCAACGCCGCGUGAGUGAAGAAGGGUUUCGGCUCGUAAAGCUCUGUUGGUAGUGAAGAAAGAUAGAGGUAGUAACUGGCCUUUAUUUGACGGUAAUUACUUAGAAAGUCACGGCUAACUACGUGCCAGCAGCCGCGGUAAUACGUAGGUGGCAAGCGUUGUCCGGAUUUAUUGGGCGUAAAGCGAGUGCAGGCGGUUCAAUAAGUCUGAUGUGAAAGCCUUCGGCUCAACCGGAGAAUUGCAUCAGAAACUGUUGAACUUGAGUGCAGAAGAGGAGAGUGGAACUCCAUGUGUAGCGGUGGAAUGCGUAGAUAUAUGGAAGAACACCAGUGGCGAAGGCGGCUCUCUGGUCUGCAACUGACGCUGAGGCUCGAAAGCAUGGGUAGCGAACAGGAUUAGAUACCCUGGUAGUCCAUGCCGUAAACGACGAGUGCUAAGUGUUGGGAGGUUUCCGCCUCUCAGUGCUGCAGCUAACGCAUUAAGCACUCCGCCUGGGGAGUACGACCGCAAGGUUG